CCUACGGGAGGCAGCAGUGGGGAAUAUUGCACAAUGGGCGAAAGCCUGAUGCAGCAACGCCGCGUGAGCGAUGAAGGCCUUCGGGUCGUAAAGCUCUGUCCUCAAGGAAGAUAAUGACGCUACUUGAGGAGGAAGCCCAGGCUAACUACGUGACAGCAGCCGCGGUAAUACGUAGGGGGCUAGCGUUAUCCGGAAUUACUGGGCGUAAAGGGUGCGUAGGUGGUUUCUUAAGUCAGAGGUAAAAGGCUACGGCUCAACCGUAGUAAGCCUUUGAAACUGGGGAACUUGAGUGCACGAGAGGUGAGUGGAAUGCCUGGUGUAGCGGUGAAAUGCGUAGAUAUUAGGAGGAACACCAGUUGCGAAGGCGGCUCUCUGG
rnacentral:rRNA from 1 species